GAUAAAAAUUCCGAAGUUGAACCGAACUCUCCCCACCACUCUUUAGGGAUAUUCUGUGGGACCCGUAUCCCAAUCAAGACCGAUCGUGGAUCCGAUCUCUCCCUUCCAUUCGUCACGGAUAAAUAUUCCGAUGUUGACCCGAUCUCUCCCCACCAUUUUUUUAGGGACCCGAAUUAUCCCGAUGCUGAACGAAAACUGUUUUUUGUCAUGGAUAAUUAUCUCGGACGUGGUCGGAUUGAAAAAUAGAAAAGGCCCCUUUAUAAAAUGAUGGGUUCGAUUUUUAUGGGAACACAAGUGAUAUGGAAUGAUGUUUAGUUUUUAAGGACGAAAAAAACUAUCGGUUUGAAAAUAUACUUUUGGUGUGUAGAAACGGGUUGGGUUCCAAUAGAAUCGAAGUUUACAUUAGAUUCAAUGUUUGUUUUUAACUCGCCAUGAAAAAUCAAAGUUUAUCCCGAGGUCAAGAUGUUUUCUAGGCGCAGGGGCUGAAACGCAUGCAAGUUCGGGGGGAAAAUUUUGGAAUGCGAUUGGUCAAAUGAACCGUUUGAGUUCAUGUAAUCAACCAAAAGGGGAAAUAUAAUGAAUAUGAUUGGUCAAAUGAAUCUCUUUGAUUCAAAAAGACAUCAUAUGGGGAAACAGCACAAUUGAAAGAAGGAUAUAUGCACAUCUCUUUCCAGCUCAGGAACUCCAGGAUUCUUUUCUGAUUCCAGAGUGGGGAUGAUUGAAAAGUGUAGUGCAUAUGUAUUGUAAUGAGAGUUGAUGUGUAGGUUGAAAUCUCAGGAUAUAAAAACCGCUGCCGGACCCUUGAUCGUGGGAAGUGCUUAGAAUUUUUUUUCAAGAGUUGUUAUUAAGAAGUUGAGUCGUUACAGAGCUUAGGGAAGUUAUUUAGGGAGUUCUUAGAAAGUGAUAUUGAAGUGUAUAGUGAAGACAUAUGCGGAAAUUCAGGGAGGUGAAGAAUACUCCGCCGUAAAUAAACGUGUGUGCCUCGUGCAGUGUUGCAAAGAUGAGCAUGUCAUCAAAAACUAGGUAGCCCCCGCCCCCGCUAGGUGGAGAAACUGGAAGAACCUAUGUUCCAGAUCCAAUCGGAUCAUAAGCCGGAUUUCUCUCCAAGUCGUUGAUGUGUGUUAAGAACGCUCCGUCGGUUGGUUCUGCUGAAUAUGGCCCAACUCCACUUAGCAGAUGAUCAGCUGAUGAUUUUGUUCGAAGGCAAGAAGUGCAUCAGGGAAACCAGACUGGACCCGUUUGUUGGUAAGUUUGAUGCAAGAAGCGGAAUGACAGGAAUGUAACGAUGUUCUUUCUUGAUUUCUUGCAGGUUGGUCAAUUCCCAGCUGCUCAUGCCAUGCUGUAAAAGAAAUUCAAGGUGAAGGUGAUCAUUCCCAAUGACCUCGACCUCCGGAACCGUCGACGUAUGCAAUCUGCAGAUUCAAACGGUUCUGCAGGAACGUCGCAACCAACACCAAGCAGACAUCGACAUUUUAUCCGGAGUCCGAACUUCGGACCUCCUGGCACCUCGACGCUAGUGGAAACAGUGGUACACAUCUGGAAGCUGCAGUACAAGGGCAACGUAUUGAGAUUGUUAAGAGUUUGUUCCCGCUACGGAUGUUUCUCGGCAUUAGUCCUGGCCGAAUAUAAAUAAAAUAGGCGUUGAGAUUUCGAAUAUGAUACCGUGGCUGGCUACGUGUAGUAACAUUUAGGCGGGGGUUCAUAUUUUGGGCACGCUAAACUCAGCUAAAUUUAGACCAAUUUUCUAUGCAUACGUAUUUAUACAGACAAAUAAACAAUUAUAGUUAGA